rnacentral:misc_RNA from 1 species
CAGAGUUCAUGCCCUUCGGGGUAGAUCUCCCACCCUAUGUAUUUAUACUUUUGUUGCUUUGGUAGGCCGUUAGGCUUCGGUCUAGCCACCGGCUCUUGCUGGUGUGUGCCUGCCAGAGGUCAUUAAAUUCUGAUUAUUAGUGUCGUCUGAGUACUAUAUAAUAGUUA